AGAGUUUGAAUUCUGGCUCAGGACGAACGCUGGCGGCGUGCUUAACACAUGCAAGUCGAACGGUAAGGCCCCUUCGGGGGUACACGAGUGGCGAACGGGUGAGUAACACGUGGGUAAUCUGCCCUGCACUUCGGGAUAAGCCUGGGAAACUGGGUCUAAUACCGGAUAUGAACUCCUGCCGCAUGGUGGGGGUUGGAAAGUUUUUCGGUGCAGGAUGAGCCCGCGGCCUAUCAGCUUGUUGGUGGGGUAAUGGCCUACCAAGGCGACGACGGGUAGCCGGCCUGAGAGGGUGAUCGGCCACACUGGGACUGAGACACGGCCCAGACUCCUACGGGAGGCAGCAGUGGGGAAUAUUGCACAAUGGGCGAAAGCCUGAUGCAGCGACGCCGCGUGGGGGAUGACGGUCUUCGGAUUGUAAACCCCUUUCAGUAGGGACGAAGCGCAAGUGACGGUACCUGCAGAAGAAGCACCGGCUAACUACGUGCCAGCAGCCGCGGUAAUACGUAGGGUGCGAGCGUUGUCCGGAAUUACUGGGCGUAAAGAGCUCGUAGGCGGUUUGUCACGUCGUCUGUGAAAUCCCUCGGCUUAACCGGGGGCGUGCAGGCGAUACGGGCAGACUUGAGUACUACAGGGGAGACUGGAAUUCCUGGUGUAGCGGUGAAAUGCGCAGAUAUCAGGAGGAACACCGGUGGCGAAGGCGGGUCUCUGGGUAGUAACUGACGCUGAGGAGCGAAAGCAUGGGUAGCGAACAGGAUUAGAUACCCUGGUAGUCCAUGCCGUAAACGGUGGGCGCUAGGUGUGGGGUCCUUCCACGGACUCCGUGCCGUAGCUAACGCAUU
rnacentral:rRNA from 1 species